UACGGAGGGGGCUAGCGUUGUUCGGAAUUACUGGGCGUAAAGCGCGCGCAGGCGGUCUUCCAAGUCAGUGGUGAAAGCCUGGAGCUCAACUCCAGAACUGCCCAUUGAAACUGUUAGACUUAGAGUUACGAGAGAGGUGAGUGGAAUUCCCAGUGUAGAGGUGAAAUUCGUAGAUAUUGGGAAAGAACACCAGUGGCGAAGGGCG
rnacentral:rRNA from 1 species